rnacentral:rRNA from 1 species
UAUCUCUGUAGAGUCUGCAUAUCAAUAAGCGGAGGAAAAGAAACUAACUAGGAUUCCCUCAGUAACGGCGAGUGAAGCGGGAAGAGCUCAAAUUUGAAAUCUUCAAGGGUUCUACCUUUACGAAUUGUAGUUUAAAGGAAGUGUUUUCUGUUGAGGUUUUGGUAAAAGUUCUUUGGAAUAGGACAUCAUAGAGGGUGAGAAUCCCGUAUUUGACCAUUACUUCCAGCGUUGUGAUACACUUUCAAAGAGUCGGAUUGUUUGGGAAUGCAGUCCAAAAUGGGUGGUAAAUUUCAUCUAAAGCUAAAUAUUGGCGAGAGACCGAUAGCGAACAAGUACCGUGAGGGAAAGAUGAAAAGAACUUUGAAAAGAGAGUUAAACAGUACGUGAAAUUGUCAAAAGGGAAGCGUUUGACACCAGUGUUGUUUUCUCGAAAAUCAAUUAAAAAAAGUUGGAUUUUGUAUUGUUAAGACCUUAUCAGCUUACUGUACUCUUUUCUUGCUUUUUUUAAUGCACUUUUCGUUUAACAAGUCAACAUCAAUUUCUUUUGUUGUAAAAGAGUCAUUGGAAGGUGGCUUUCUUUUCGGAGAAAGUGUUUAUAGCCUUUGGCCUCUGCAAUCGGAGAGAUUGAGGUCUGCAGCGUAGAUCCUUCGGGGUUAGAUACAUUUGUGCUAAGUUAUAGCCUUUCAUAGACAACUUGUUGACUAUGGUCAGUCAUGUAGCUUACUCGCUUAUGCUAUUUUACCUACGCUUAGGAUGUUGACGAUCAGCUGAGCGCG